rnacentral:rRNA from 1 species
GUAGGUGGCAAGCGUUGUCCGGAAUUAUUGGGCGUAAAGCGCGCGCAGGCGGGUCUUUUAAGUCUGAUGUGAAAGCCCACGGGCUCAACCGUGGAGGGUCAUUGGAAACUGGAGAACUUGAGUACAGAAGAGGAAAGCGGAAUUCCACGUGUAGCGGUGAAAUGCGUAGAGAUGUGGAGGAACACCAGUGGCGAAGGCGGCUUUCUGGUCUGUAACUGACGCUGAGGCGCGAAAGCGUGGGGAGCAAACAGGAUUAGAUACCCUGGUAGUCCACGCCGUAAACGAUGAGUGCUAAGUGUUAGGGGGUUUCCGCCCCUUAGUGCUGCAGCUAACGCAUUAAGCACUCCGCCUGGGGAGUACGGCCGCAAAGGCUG